rnacentral:rRNA from 1 species
GGUAAUUGCAUUAAGUUGCAAAGGUACUCCGGAAGUUAACGCCUUGGGCCGAAGUCAAGCAGCAUCGGGCGCGGUCAGUACUUGGGAGGGUGACCACCUGGGAACACCGCGUGCUGUUGGCA